CCUCGAGCCGGUUAUCUCCUUGUUCUCGAAUCGAAAGAGAGAAAAGGUUUCCGUCCCCUUCUUCCUCUCGCUCCUCCCCAUCUGCAAAUCGCAAAUCCUACCAGAAGCCGCCAUGUCCCGCGAUCCACAGCCCCUCCCCAAGCGCCAUAUCAAGCCUCUGCUGAUUCCUCCUCUGAAUUCUGCCUCGUUUCACCUUGCUUUCCUUCUUCCUCUCGCCCGGCAGAUCUGCCUGUCCAUCCAGUCUACCUGAAUCGAAACCGCCUGCAGAUCUUGCCGUGCCCGGCGAGCAACACCACCCGCCGAUCAGUUCGCCGCACCAAGGUGCCUUCUCGAUGUACCGCCGGCGAAUUCCUCGGAGGACGGCGCUUGACUUUGCCUCGUGCCCGCCCUGCCGGAGCUGAGCCGUAAAGCUUCGAUUUUUACGCAUGGGAUAUCGCGUGGGCUGAUGGUGCGUUGACGAUUUCAGUAGCCGGAGACGACGCCCAGGCUGAAUAUUGCCAACUUUCUUCCUGUGAGGGGGGCUGGUCUGCGAGAUCUCGGCAACACAUGCCGCCUCAACUCGGUUCUGCAAUGCCUGGCCUACGCCGACCCGUUCGUGACCUACCUGCCAGAGCGAGAAGCACAAGUCCUCAUACAUAACAGGUGACUACUGUCUCUAAUGGAACGAGGCCCAUUGGAGAAGAUUGAACUUGCUUUGAUGAAACUACAGAGUUAGCAGAGUUUGCGAAGCAACAUGAGGAUUUUUUUACAGUAAAGGAGCUUUCCGUGGAAAAUAUUGCAGCUAUAACAAAUGUGGUGGAGCAGACAUACUUGCAGGCUACAGCAAAGGAGGUCUUUUGUGAGGACGCUGGUUAUAUUGCAAAUGCAGAGGAGCUGCUACCAGACCAACCCCCACUAUCCGGUUGGAUUACAUAAUGAUGACGAUGCAUAUCAUGGCUGUUACUGGUUGCACUAAAAUUUCACAAGAAAGGGAAUCACAGAAGAGCUAAAAGACGGAUCUACAUUUUCUGCUGGGAAUUAAAAUAAUUGCUGAAGAUCAGUGGGCAUCAGCAUCAGAAGCUGUUCUUAGUACGGACAAAUCGGAUUCUGGUGAGAACUCUCUGCUUGUUAUCCCAGAAAUAUGCAGGAACCUGGUAGACAUGGUUUUAGUUCCUAGCAGAAUAUGUAGUUUGUACUAGGAUGUAUGAAACACAAGUGCUUGACAGCUUGUUUGGUUUUCCCAUCCUGCAGCAUAUAAACGUGUGGUAUUGUAUAUAUGGGUUAGAGGUGUAGAUAGUGAUACAGUAUUCCAAUGACACGAUCUUUUUAGUGGAAGUUAAUUAUGUGAUGAUAUAA